rnacentral:rRNA from 1 species
AUUGAACGCUGGCGGCAUGCUUUACACAUGCAAGUCGAACGGUAACAGGCCGCAAGGUGCUGACGAGUGGCGAACGGGUGCGUAAUGCAUCGGAACGUGCCCAGUCGUGGGGGAUAACUACUCGAAAGAGUAGCUAAUACCGCAUACGAUCUAUGGAUGAAAGCGGGGGACCGUAAGGCCUCGCGCGAUUGGAGCGGCCGAUGUCAGAUUAGGUAGUUGGUGGGGUAAGGCUCACCAAGCCAACGAUCUGUAGCUGGUCUGAGAGGACGACCAGCCACACUGGGACUGAGACACGGCCCAGACUCCUACGGGAGGCAGCAGUGGGGAAUUUUGGACAAAGGGCGCAAGCCUGAUCCAGCAAUGCCGCGUGCAGGAAGAAGGCCUUCGGGUUGUAAACUGCUUUUGUACGGAACGAAACGGCUCUGGUUAAUACCCGGGGCUAAUGACGGUACCGUAAGAAUAAGCACCGGCUAACUACGUG